rnacentral:rRNA from 1 species
AUUGAACGCUGGCGGCAUGCUUUACACAUGCAAGUCGAACGGCAGCGCGGGCUUCGGCCUGGCGGCGAGUGGCGAACGGGUGAGUAAUACAUCGGAACGUGCCCAGUAGUGGGGGAUAGCUCGGCGAAAGGCGGAUUAAUACCGCAUACGACCUGAGGGUGAAAGCGGGGGAUCUUCGGACCUCGCGCUAUUGGAGCGGCCGAUGGCAGAUUAGCUAGUUGGUGGGGUAAAGGCCUACCAAGGCGACGAUCUGUAGCUGGUCUGAGAGGACGACCAGCCACACUGGGACUGAGACACGGCCCAGACUCCUACGGGAGGCAGCAGUGGGGAAUUUUGGACAAUGGGCGAAAGCCUGAUCCAGCAAUGCCGCGUGUGUGAUGAAGGCCUUCGGGUUGUAAAGCACUUUUGGCGGGAACGAAAAGGACUGUGCCAAUACCACGGUUCGAUGACGGUACCCGCAGAAUAAGCACCGGCUAACUACGUG